GGCUUCGUAGCUCAGCUGGUAGAGCAUUUGCUGCGUUUGGGCACGUUGUUUUUAGUGCUGAUUCGAAUCCAGCCGAAGUCC